rnacentral:rRNA from 1 species
UACGUAGGGGGCAAGCGUUGUCCGGAAUCAUUGGGCGUAAAGCGCGUGUAGGCGGCCCGGUAAGUCCGCUGUGAAAGUCCAGGGCUCAACCCUGGAAUGCCGGUGGAUACUGCCGGGGCUGGAGUCCGGAAGAGGCGAGUGGAAUUCCUGGUGUAGCGGUGAAAUGCGCAGAUAUCAGGAGGAACACCAAUGGCGAAGGCAGCUCGCUGGGACGGUACUGACACUGAGACGCGAAAGCGUGGGGAGCAAACAGGAUUAGAAACCCG